AUUGAACGCUGGCGGCAGGCCUAACACAUGCAAGUCGAACGGUAACAGGAAGCAGCUUGCUGCUUCGCUGACGAGUGGCGGACGGGUGAGUAAUGUCUGGGAAACUGCCUGAUGGAGGGGGAUAACUACUGGAAACGGUAGCUAAUACCGCAUAACGUCGCAAGACCAAAGAGGGGGACCUUAGGGCCUCUUGCCAGCGGAUGUGCCCAGAUGGGAUUAGCUAGUAGGUGGGGUAACGGCUCACCUAGGCGACGAUCCCUAGCUGGUCUGAGAGGAUGACCAGCCACACUGGAACUGAGACACGGUCCAGACUCCUACGGGAGGCAGCAGUGGGGAAUAUUGCACAAUGGGCGCAAGCCUUAUGCAGCCAUGCCGCGCGUAUGAAGAAGGCCUUCGGGUUGUAAAGUACUUUCAGCGGGGAGGAAGGGAGUAAAGUUAAUACCUUUGCUCAUUGACGUUACCCGCAGAAGAAGCACCGGCUAACUCCGUG
rnacentral:rRNA from 1 species